rnacentral:other from 1 species
UCAAUCCUGAUGUGUACGUCCCAUUAUUGACGUUUUGACCGAACAUCAAUAAAUAUGGGAGCCUCCGUUUUCAAUUGGCGUGCAAGCCUCAUUAUUAUAAUUGAGGAAGCAUAAUACUUGAAACAAGGCACCCACCUGCUAAGAGCGGGAUCAAAACUCAUUCGAAAUGACGGCACAAUUGGGAUUGAU